rnacentral:rRNA from 1 species
GCAAGUCGAGCGAACGGACGAGAAGCUUGCUUCUCUGAUGUUAGCGGCGGACGGGUGAGUAACACGUGGAUAACCUACCUAUAAGACUGGGAUAACUUCGGGAAACCGGAGCUAAUACCGGAUAAUAUUUUGAACCGCAUGGUUCAAAAGUGAAAGACGGUCUUGCUGUCACUUAUAGAUGGAUCCGCGCUGCAUUAGCUAGUUGGUAAGGUAACGGCUUACCAAGGCAGCGAUGCAUAGCCGAGCUGAGAGGGUGAUCGGACACACUGGAACUGAGACACGGUCCAGACUCCUACGGGAGGCAGCACUAGGGAAUAUUCCGCAAUGGGCGAAAGCCCGACGGAGCAACGCCGCGUGAGUGAUGAAGGUCUUCGGAUCGUAAAACUCUGUUAUUAGGGAAGAACACAUGUGUAAGUAACUGUGCACAUCUUGACGGUACCUAAUCAGAAAGCCACGGCUAACUACGUGCCAGCAGCCGCGGUAAUACGUAGGUGGCAAGCGUUAUCCGGAAUUAUUGGGCGUAAAGCGCGCGUAGGCGGUUUUUUAAGUCUGAUGUGAAAGCCCACGGCUCAACCGUGGAGGGUCAUUGGAAACUGGAAAACUUGAGUGCAGAAGAGGAAAGUGGAAUUCCAUGUGUAGCGGUGAAAUGCGCAGAGAUAUGGAGGAACACCAGUGGCGAAGGCGACUU